rnacentral:misc_RNA from 1 species
AAAGUCGUAACAAGGUUUCCGUAGGUGAACCUGCGGAAGGAUCAUUACAGUGUUAGGCUUCGGCCUCAUUCACACCCCUUGUUUACCCUCUGGUUUCUUUGGCGAUGUCCAUGGACUCGUCAAACUUUUAACUCUGGUAAUGUGAUACUGUCCGAGUGAUAUUCAAUCAUAAAAACUUUCAACAACGGAUCUCUUGGUUCCA